UGCCACGGUAAAAUGAAACUGGCUAUUUGCAGCUGUAUCUUUUGUGAACUUUAUGUGGGUCUUUGAUAGGCCCCGCCCAGAUGUUUGCAGUGUCAUAUGGGGAGGACGUCGCUCACGGUUUUCAUUUUCCAUAGCAAACACGGUUAUCUGCUGCCAUUACAGAGCAACUGUUUGAAGAAAUGCUGCUGAGCAGGUUUGUGCUGGUCAGCACAACGUCUGUCUGCCGUCUGGCUGAGUUCUGCUGUCAGUACAGUUCCAGAGGAUCGGCCCGUGAACCUCUCAUGUUGAAGUAUACUGCACAUAGAAGCAUCUGCACAGAUCUUCGACUCAAAUGAGUCAAGCAGCACUAACAGUGAAAAACUAACCCGUCUAGUGGAUCACAAAGACCAUCACGCACUCACUGUGUGUGUCUAUACACACACACACCGACUCCCCACGCUGUGGCGGCGAGUUGACAAGCCCGUCUGCCAAACAACUCAAUUAAGCAGAAAAGAGGAGGAAAAAGAACUAGAAGGAACAUAGAAGAGAGGGAAGGUGAGAGAAAGAGAAAAGCCUGUUGCCUGUCGGCUGCGCGGCCGCCUCUGCGGGGCAAGAAGGGCAGCAACACGUCAGAGAUAAAGAAGAGGGACAAGAAAAAAGGGAAAGGGGAGAAAAGAAAAACCUCUGUGAUGUGUUAACUGGCAUUCAGGACCCUAGGGCAGCACCAGGGCACAGGUCAAACUAAGAGCCGUUGGGUCAUUGCCACGCCGACAGGGACACCGGGCCUUAACACUGCAUCUCUGUGUGUGUGACUGAUUGUGAGUAUAUGUGUGUUUGCUCUUCUCUUCAGACUGGAGAGAACUCACUUUGGCCCAAGUGUGAGUGUGAGUGUUUACAGACCCUUAUGAAAACUGAAACAUGACUAUUGAUGACAUGCAUCUUCAAAAUGCAAUUCCUAUUAGAAAGAGCAUUUUGUUGCUGUCGGGUGGAAAACCUUGUAUCUCUAAAAUGACAACGUUUCGGAAAACGGAAUAACAAAAAAAGUAAACACUGAGUUGACAAGCUCUUUUUAAUGCUUCUCAUUGUAUAAAUAUUUGCAAAAGCAAACAUGAAGGAUGACCAAUAUGAAUGAUUUGUGAAAUAUUACAUUACAUUUACAUUUAUUCAUUUGGCAGAUGCUUUUAUCCAUAGGAGAGCAUAUAAACACUUGUCAACAUGCUAAGCAGUAGUUUACAAGAUAUGGAGAUAUAGAGAUACAAAGAUUCUGCUCUACAGUGACAAGUUUUUUUUUACAAAUUCAUUAAUUUUAUUUGUCACUUAUUAA